rnacentral:lncRNA from 1 species
CGUUGGGAAUAGCUCAGCUGCCUCAGAUCCAACCAUUCUCCGCUUGGUGUUGCUUUGCUCGACGAGCUCGCGACCCAAGAGCCGGCGAAACAGCGUUAGUCACCGUUGUGUUGUCAGCCAGCUGAAAGAGCACCGAGGACGAGGUGCAUCCGGAGUGUAGACUUCGCAUCCAUCCUUCCAUAUGAAAUGAAUGGACGUGGAACAAAGGGUGAAUCAUAUGAUAUAUUUCCUAUGCAUGAUUUACUGUUACAUGGUUCACUAACAAAGGAUGAAUCAUAUGAUAUAUUUCCUAUGCAUGAUUUAAUGUUACAUGGUUCACUGUGUUAUAUGAAAGCGAAAGGUUCAAGCAAGGGGAGACCUUGGUUGGAUGAUCCCUUCGUCCUGAAUUGCUUUAGCUCUGAGGAUCUUUGUUAACUAGACUGUCGAACUUAAGCGGAUUUG